AUAGUCCGCUAUUCUGCAGUGAUUUUCUUCCAAUCCAGUAUCAUUUGUACGUUGCAGCAUCAUCGAACACGGCCGAUGAAACAGAAGAUAACGUGCAUGUAGAUGUUACGAGAGAGCUCAUUUCACAAUGGACAACAGAAGUGUUACGUGACUUUCUACAAGGAGGGGACUCAAGCUUGGAAAUCGAGUACCGGUAGUCUCUGCCUUGACGCGGUAGCUGUUCAGCCAUCCGAGGUAGACACUGUGAGGAACUGGACAAUGGAUGGAUUGGGGGGGUGGGGGUAGGCAUGCAGAACUGGCCUACUAUGUUUGUAUGUACCUACUGGAUAAGGACCCUCCAUCACUAGAGGGAAAAAUAAUGAGAGACUACAAAGAGGGGAAGGCAUAUAGUUAUUUUGCCUUGUGAAAAAAUUAGAUUUAGCCCCUAAAAAAGUGUUCCUUCGGGUAUCAAAUGACGACGGGUGAAACCUCACAGUUGUAGAAUUAUUAUCUGUAAUGUGAUUUCCAAACCAUGUGACAGCAAAUGGUGUAUGGUGUAUGUUGUAAAGGUAUUGUAAAAUGCAUUGUUUAACAAUGUAUAACAAUGUUUAAACCGAGAUGGACGUAUGGCCCUACGUGCUACCAGUGUCUGUGAUA
rnacentral:lncRNA from 1 species